rnacentral:rRNA from 1 species
GACGAACGCUGGCGGCGUGCUUAACACAUGCAAGUCGAACGGAAAGGCCCUGCUUUUGUGGGGUGCUCGAGUGGCGAACGGGUGAGUAACACGUGAGUAACCUGCCCUUGUCUUUGGGAUAACUUCAGGAAACUGGGGAUCAUACCGGAUAGGAGCUCCUGCUGCAUGGUGGGGGUUGGAAAGUUUCGGCGGUUGGGGAUGGACUCGCGGCUUAUCAGCUUGUUGGUGGGGUAGUGGCUUACCAAGGUUUUGACGGGUAGCCGGCCUGAGAGGGUGACCGGCGACAUUGGGACUGAGAUACGGCCCAGACUGCUACGGGAGGCAGCAGUGGGGAAUAUUGCACAAUGGGCGGAAGCCUGAUGCAGCGACGCCGCGUGCGGGAUGACGGCCUUCGGGUUGUAAACCGCUUUCGCCGGUGACGAAGCGUGAGUGACGGUAAUGGGUAAAGAAGCACCGGCUAACUACGUG